rnacentral:miRNA from 1 species
CUGGCAGGGGGAGAGGUA